GGAGGUGUGGCCUUAUUGGAGAGGCUGUGGGCUUUAAAGUCUCAAAAGACUUGUGUCAUUCUCCAUUUUUCUCUCUCCCCUUCCCCCUCUCCCUUCCCUUCUCCCUCUCCCUUGUCCUCUAGCUCACGGUUGUGGAUCAAGAUGUAAGAUGUCAGCUGCAUCUUUACUCUGACUUCAUGGACUCAAAACCUCUGAAACUGCAACUGAAACUAAACUCACUGGAAAAUAAAAUCCAAAAAGACAUGAAAAGGGAAGAGCUGGGCAGAAGGAAGUCACCAGGAGUGGGAAAGGGGAUGAAGGAGGGUAAUGAAGAAUAAAUACGAUCAAAA
rnacentral:lncRNA from 1 species